AGGUAUCAGAAGUGCGAAUGCUGACAUAAGUAACGAUAAAGCGGGUGAAAAGCCCGCUCGCCGGAAGACCAAGGGUUCCUGUCCAACGUUAAUCGGGGCAGGGUGAGUCGACCCCUAAGGCGAGGCCGAAAGGCGUAGUCGAUGGGAAACGGGUUAAUAUUCCCGUACUUGGUGUUACUGCGAAGGGGGGACGGAGAAGGCUAUGUUGGCCGGGCGACGGUUGUCCCGGUUUAAGCGUGUAGGUGUGUGUUCCAGGUAAAUCCGGUUCACUUUAACACUGAGGCGUGAUGACGAGGCACUACGGUGCUGAAGCAACAAAUGCCCUGCUUCCAGGAAAAGCCUCUAAGCAUCAGGUAACAUCAAAUCGUACCCCAAACCGACACAGGUGGUCAGGUAGAGAAUACCAAGGCGCUUGAGAGAACUCGGGUGAAGGAACUAGGCAAAAUGGUGCCGUAACUUCGGGAGAAGGCACGCUGACACGUAGGUGAAGUGAUUUACUCAUGGAGCUGAAGUCAGUCGAAGAUACCAGCUGGCUGCAACUGUUUAUUAAAAACACAGCACUGUGCAAACACGAAAGUGGACGUAUACGGUGUGACGCCUGCCCGGUGCCGGAAGGUUAAUUGAUGGGGUCAGCGCAAGCGAAGCUCCUGAUCGAAGCCCCGGUAAACGGCGGCCGUAACUAUAACGGUCCUAAGGUAGCGAAAUUCCUUGUCGGGUAAGUUCCGACCUGCACGAAUGGCGUAAUGAUGGCCAGGCUGUCUCCACCCGAGACUCAGUGAAAUUGAACUCGCUGUGAAGAUGCAGUGUACCCGCGGCAAGACGGAAAGACCCCGUGAACCUUUACUAUAGCUUGACACUGAACAUUGAGCCUUGAUGUGUAGGAUAGGUGGGAGGCUUUGAAGUGUGGACGCCAGUCUGCAUGGAGCCGACCUUGAAAUACCACCCUUUAAUGUUUGAUGUUCUAACGUGGACCCGUAAUCCGGGUUGCGGACAGUGUCUGGUGGGUAGUUUGACUGGGGCGGUCUCCUCCUAAAGAGUAACGGAGGAGCACGAAGGUUGGCUAAUCCUGGUCGGACAUCAGGAGGUUAGUGCAAUGGCAUAAGCCAGCUUGACUGCGAGCGUGACGGCGCGAGCAGGUGCGAAAGCAGGUCAUAGUGAUCCGGUGGUUCUGAAUGGAAGGGCCAUCGCUCAACGGAUAAAAGGUACUCCGGGGAUAACAGGCUGAUACCGCCCAAGAGUUCAUAUCGACGGCGGUGUUUGGCACCUCGAUGUCGGCUCAUCACAUCCUGGGGCUGAAGUAGGUCCCAAGGGUAUGGCUGUUCGCCAUUUAAAGUGGUACGCGAGCUGGGUUUAGAACGUCGUGAGACAGUUCGGUCCCUAUCUGCCGUGGGCGCUGGAGAACUGAGGGGGGCUGCUCCUAGUACGAGAGGACCGGAGUGGACGCAUCACUGGUGUUCGGGUUGUCAUGCCAAUGGCACU
rnacentral:rRNA from 1 species